GUGAGCUGGUGUGUGGGCUACUCGAAAGAGAGGAAACUCCUCCCUCUAUGCAGGCACUCGGAUCAGAGAUGAUCGGUCGGAGACGGUCGGCUCCGGAACAGAAAAGAUAUCCAGCCUGGACUAAUAAAGCUGUGAUGGUGGAUAGCCUGAGUGUCCUUAACUGGAAUGAAACUGCCGUCCCGAGUGGAGCAAGGCCAAAUUGAGCGUUUAAGUUCCUGCAGCAGCUAAGGUAGGCCGCUAAGCGGAAUCCCACUUAAAACAGAAGGAGGGUUACUGCCAGGACAC
rnacentral:RNase_P_RNA from 1 species